AGUGGCCCCGAUGGGAGUUUGCCCCUGCCCCCUAGUGGCAGUUUCGCAGUUCAUAAGGGAGCCAAGAUCGACACUUUUACCGACGGUCGCUGUUCAGCCUUCUGUGGCUGUUUCAGCAACAUUAAGGAAAAGGACAUUA